UGAACCAUUUGUGAGGGGAGAAUGCAAUAUACUUUCAUAUAUAACACAUAUCAAAUUGAUAGAUAUAACUUUGUUCUCAUAAGAAAUAGUUUAGCUAUUAAGUGUAGGAACUCAAUAGAUUAUUUUGCUAAACCAACUAUGGUGUAAAUCAACUAAUCAAGAUGAACUUCUUGAAUAGAAAAUCUGGAAAUUAUGCUCGAAAUUAGAUUACUGAGCGAGUUACCUCGCUAGCACCAGUCAGGUUGCAGGUUAAUAAUAAUCGCACAUUUAACCAUCUAAUAGAUGCAUCUUAUGUGGUAUACAUGGCAGGUGAAUGGGCUCAUAUUUACCUUUGAUAUUUCCAGCAUUCAUGGAAUUUAAUCCCAAUUUUAAUUGGUCUACCAAUUAACGAGAACAAGCAACCUAAGAGAAUUCGUAAAGAUCUUUCUAGUUCUUUAAUAUUUACCCAUAUAGAUUCUCGUUUAUUUUUGCACAUCAUACUAACCUAAGAGAAUUCGUAAAGAUCUUUCUAGUUCUUUAAUUUUUACACAUAUAGAUUCUCGUUUAUUUUUGCACAGCAUACUUUAAUUAAUAUGACUAAAUCAGCUAUGCCAACUGGAUAUUAAUAAACUCCACGUUU
rnacentral:lncRNA from 1 species